rnacentral:rRNA from 1 species
GUAGGUGGCAAGCGUUGUCCGGAAUUAUUGGGCGUAAAGCGCGCGCAGGCGGUUCUUUAAGUCUGAUGUGAAAGCCCACGGCUCAACCGUGGAGGGUCAUUGGAAACUGGAGAACUUGAGUACAGAAGGGGAAAGCGGAAUUCCACGUGUAGCGGUGAAAUGCGUAGAGAUGUGGAGGAACACCAGUGGCGAAGGCGGCUUUCUGGUCUGUAACUGACGCUGAGGCGCGAAAGCGUGGGGAGCAAACAGGAUUAGAUACCCUGGUAGUCCACGCCGUAAACGAUGAGUGCUAAGUGUUAGGGGGUUUCCCGCCCCCUUAGUGCUGCAGCUAACGCAUUAAGCACUCCGCCUGGGGAGUACGGCCGCAAGGCUG